CGCAGCCGCGGUAAUUCCAGCUCCAAUAGCGUAUAUUAAAGUUGUUGCAGUUAAAAGCUCGUAGUUGAAUUUCGGGAUCAAUUAAUUGGUCGUGCCUCUGGUACGUACUGAUUUUAUUGGUUUCUCCCUUCUGACGAACCAUGAUGUCAUUAAUUUGGUGUCGUGGAGAAUCAGGACUGUUACUUUGAAAAAUUAGAGUGUUUAAAGCAAGCUAACGCUUGAAUACAUUAGCAUGGAAUAAUGAAAUAGGACGUUUGAUCCUAUUUUGUUGGUUUCUAGGAUCGACGUAAUGAUUAAUAGGGAUAGUUGGGGGCAUUAGUAUUCAAUUGUCAGAGGUGAAAUUCUUGGAUUUAUUGAAGACUAACUACUGCGAAAGCAUUUGCCAAGGAUGUUUUCAUUAAUCAAGAACGAAAGUUAGGGGAUCGAAGACGAUCAGAUACCGUCGUAGUCUUAACCAUAAACUAUGCCGACUAGGGAUCGGAUGAUGUAAUUUUUAAUGACUCA
rnacentral:rRNA from 1 species